GUGAAAGUAAUUCCCUCUUCAAAGGAGCUAACUUGUGCCCUUCUCAGGAACAUGGCAACUUGGAAGAAAACCUGGCAUGCCUGAGGUGCUUGCAGAGCAAGGGAUGCUUAUUUCCUUUGCAUACCUUUGACCACCUACAUAU